rnacentral:rRNA from 1 species
AACGAACGCUGGCGGCGUGCCUAAUACAUGCAAGUAGAACGCUGAAGGAGGAGCUUGCUCUUCUGGAUGAGUUGCGAACGGGUGAGUAACGCGAAGGUAACCUGCCUUGUAGCGGGGGAUAACUAUUGGAAACGAUAGCUAAUACCGCAUAAAAUUGAUUAUUCCAUGAUAGUCAAGUAAAAUGUGCAAUUUCCUCACUACCAGAUGGACCUGCGUUGUAUUAGCUAGUUGGUGAGGUAACGGCUCACCAAGGCAACGAUACAUAGCCGACCUGAGAGGGUGAUCGGCCAAACUGGGAAUGGGACACGGCCCAGACUCCUACGGGAGGCAGCAGUAGGGAAUCUUCGGCAAUGGACGGAAGUCUGACCGAGCAACGCCGCGUGAGUGAAGAAGGGUUUCGGAUCGUAAAGCUCUGUUGUAAGAGAAGAACGAGUGUGAGAGUGGAAAGUUCAUACUGUGACGGUAUCUUAACAGAAAGGGACGGCUAACUACGUG